AUUGAACGCUGGCGGCAUGCCUUACACAUGCAAGUCGAACGGCAGCACGGGUGCUUGCACCUGGUGGCGAGUGGCGAACGGGUGAGUAAUACGUCGGAACAUGUCCUGUAGUGGGGGAUAGCCCGGCGAAAGCCGGAUUAAUACCGCAUACGAUCCACGGAUGAAAGCGGGGGACCUUCGGGCCUCGCGCUAUAGGGUUGGCCGAUGGCUGAUUAGCUAGUUGGUGGGGUAAAGGCCUACCAAGGCGACGAUCAGUAGCUGGUCUGAGAGGACGACCAGCCACACUGGGACUGAGACACGGCCCAGACUCCUACGGGAGGCAGCAGUGGGGAAUUUUGGACAAUGGGCGAAAGCCUGAUCCAGCAAUGCCGCGUGUGUGAAGAAGGCCUUCGGGUUGUAAAGCACUUUUGUCCGGAAAGAAAUCCUUGACUCUAAUACAGUCGGGGGAUGACGGUACCGGAAGAAUAAGCACCGGCUAACUACGUG
rnacentral:rRNA from 1 species